rnacentral:rRNA from 1 species
UACGUAGGGGGCAAGCGUUGUCCGGAAUCAUUGGGCGUAAAGAGCGUGUAGGCGGCUCGGUAAGUCCGCUCUGAAAGCCCGGGGCUCAACCCCGGGAGGCGGGCGGAUACUGUCGGGCUAGAGUCCGGAAGAGGCGAGUGGAAUUCCUGGUGUAGCGGUGAAAUGCGCAGAUAUCAGGAGGAACACCAAUGGCGAAGGCAGCUCGCUGGGACGGUACUGACGCUGAGACGCGAAAGCGUGGGGAGCAAGCAGG